rfam:Exiguobacterium sibiricum 255-15, complete genome.
UAUCUACACUAGGGGAGUCUCGCAGCAGACUGAGACGGAAGUAUCCGGACCCUUUGAACCUGAUCUAGUUCGUACUAGCGGAGGGAAGUGGAUUCCGAUCAUU